UCCAAUGUUAAAAGAUUUCUGCAGGGAUGUUUUUCUUUAUCGCAGUAAUAAUUCAAGAAAUAGCAAACCCUCAGUGGAGAAAGAGCUUGGAACAGCUCGGGGAGACCACUGCCAGGAUGAAGCACGAGCGUGGUUCGCUGAGAUGGAGAGGGAGGCACAGCAUCUGGGCCAGAGAGAAAAAUCAGAGCACUGACUGCUGAACAAGCCAAAGGAGGCUGGAAUAAGGAGCCACACUUCAGGAGAAAUGUUCUGACAGAAGGGCCAGGAGCUGUAGAGACAGGAGGGUUUCACAGCUUCUUG